UACGUAGGGUGCAAGCGUUAAUCGGAAUUACUGGGCGUAAAGCGUGCGCAGGCGGUUUUGUAAGCCAGAUGUGAAAUCCCCGGGCUUAACCUGGGAAUGGCAUUUGGGACUGCAAGGCUUGAGUGCGGCAGAGGAGACUGGAAUUCCUGGUGUAGCAGUGAAAUGCGUAGAUAUGCGGAGGAACACCGAUGGCGAAGGCAAUCCCCUGGGCCUGCACUGACGCUCAUGCACGAAAGCGUGGGGAGCAAACAGG
rnacentral:rRNA from 1 species